rnacentral:rRNA from 1 species
CGGCGGACGGGUGAGUAACGCGUGGGUAACCUGCCUCAUACAGGGGGAUAACAGUUGGAAACGGCUGCUAAUACCGCAUAAGCGCACAGUACCGCAUGGUACCGUGUGAAAAACUCCGGUGGUAUGAGAUGGACCCGCGUCUGAUUAGCUAGUUGGUGGGGUAACGGCCUACCAAGCGACGAUCAGUAGCCGACCUGAGAGGGUGACCGGCCACAUUGGGACUGAGACACGGCCCAA